rnacentral:rRNA from 1 species
UACGGAGGGUGCAAGCGUUAUCCGGAUUCACUGGGUUUAAAGGGUGCGUAGGUGGGCUGGUAGGUCAGUGGUGAAAUCUCCGAGCUUAACUCGGAAACUGCCAUUGAUACUAUCAGUCUUGAAUACCGUGGAGGUCAGUAGAAUAUGUCAUGUAGCGGUGAAAUGCUUAGAUAUGACAUAGAAUACCAAUUGCGAAGGCAGCUGGCUACACGAAUAUUGACACUCAGGCACGAAAGCGUGGGGAUCAAACAGG